GGACAUCAAUGAUAAAUCUAUGACAAUCACAUUUUGAAAAUGCAAACUCCUAACUCCUAAGCAGUACUCCUAGAAGAGUUGGCUACUUCGCGAUCGGGUACUGUUCAUCAUCCACUAUGAUUAGUCUAUUUUGAGCAGCCACCAUCAGAAAAGAAAUGCACCAAAAAUGACUCGGAUUCGGUAAAGCACUCCGAUGAACCCUGAAGAAGUUUACAUAAUGCCCAUUCGUGGACUUGAUGGUGCUUCUUCCGUAAUCCCCAAACACGUUCCUCUGAUCGAGAAAGCGUGCCCGUAUGGAGCUUGUUGGAUCCGAAGAAACAGACGAUGCCGAACAAUCGGUUCUUAUGCUAACCGAUCCACUACACGGCGUGCAAGAAGAUUCCUGUUCUUCAUUUACAAUUGUCACAGAUCGUUCUUCCGGUAAAGGGUUACAUUCUGGCAAACAACUGUCAUAUUCAGCCCGCGGUAUUGUAUGGUUACCAAAAAAGUACCACAGUAAUCCGAGUAGCAGCACAGCGAUGAUUAUGCCAAAAACAGAAAAGGUCAUGCCAUUAAAAUCGAUUGAUUUGU